GACUUCCUUGUCUUGGGGAGCAUAGUGCACAGUGAUCGUAAAGUGAGGGCACUGAUGCUGACACCCACUGGUUAAACCAUCCCGCGCCCGGCUGCCGUAAGGGAGUCCGAGCGCAAUUUUUUAAAAG